AUGCUCCAGCGGUUGUUUGAACAGAGACGUGAGGGGUGUCACGGCCUUGAGGUUUUCAGCAGCGAGGUUUUUGGAGGUUGGGAUAUAGCAUUUUGGACUGGUUAUGAGCAGGGCAGCAAGGGUAUAGCAAGGCUUUGGAGCAGUAAGAAGGUUGAUUUGAUUUUGCAGGCUGAUAUGCUAAGUUUUGGCCUGUUAUCUUUGUCUUAUGGCUGCAAAAUUAUGGACAAGGAGAUGUCACAAUUUGACUGUUUAUUUGGCAUUAUGCAGGAGCUGGAAUUUUGCAGCAAAGUUUACAAGGUUGUUGAAGGCAAUAUGUGGCAUGAAUUUUGGAUCAAGAACAAGUCUUAG